UCUCAAGUAGACCCUAUUUAUUGGGCCCUAUUUUAUGGACGGGGAAACAGGCUCACAGAAGCAAAAUACCUUGCUUAACGGCUCCUAACUAUUUAAGAGGUGGGGCCAAGGGGUGAACCUGCUGACUCCAGGCUGAACUUAACCACUCUACCGAUCCGUCAUCCAACAGAGGCUUCUGGUCACAGAAUCCCCUGGCUGUGGUGCUCUUGGCUGGAUCGAAAUGGGCUGGGGAGGGGGUAAGAGGCCUGUGCCGACAGCUUCCGGGUUCCGCUGCCCGCCCGGGGGCCUCGGAUAUGAUGUGAUCCUCAGGCACAAGCUCUGUGCUGCCAUCUUCCAUGCUAACAACCUCUCCUUCCCUGGAGGCCCUGGACAAGCAGCGCUGUGCUCCAGUGACCAAGCCAACUGGCCCUUUAUCCUUGGGGCUGUGCAGCCCUGUUUUUAGACGAGUGACCCAACAGCCUGCAGUUGCAGGAGCGAAGAGGUGAGGAGGAAGAAGGUGAAGGUGUGCAGUUUGGGGCAAACCUCCCCCAGAAGGCCCUAGGAGAGAAGGCAGCAUCGGCCAGUGAGUGGGAGGGGAGUGGCUGCGUCCAGGCCUCGGCAGAGCCCACAGUCAGCUUGUGCUCAACUCAGCCCUUACCUCUGCUCCGGGCCGACCACUGCUGCCUGGGGGACCCGGUUUCCCACAGUCACCCUGGAAGAGAGAGGGCCAGCUGGAGCGCCACAGACCUCUGCUGGUCUCCUCCGGCCUCAUGUUGACCCCACAUCCGAGGAGUCCUGCUCCCUGCCCCGCCUCCAGCCAGCAGCACCCUCGAUGCCCUCAGGCUGGUGGACGGCGAGGCCUGACCCAAUCUGCUGGCACUGUGGUCUCAGGAGGCUCGGACGCAGGGAUGGCAUCUCAGCCAAGGCUCAGUGGCACGGGCACUCCUGCAAGGAGCAUAACCCCCAUAUCUGCCUGGGGUCAGGCCUUGAGGAGAGCUGAGAACACCUGCUCGGCAGAAGUCACCAGGCCCUCACCUUUGGUCCUGGGAGGCCAGGGUGUCCUGUUUUUCCCUUGAAGCCCUGGAAGAAAAAGUGGGAAGCUGCUACAGGCCCUCGUCUCAAGCAGAGGCCACUUCCCUUGCCUCCUUCCUCAGGUUGAACAAAUCAGACCCCUCCAAAAUCCUAACAUGGUCCUCAGAGGAUCUGGACUUGAGCUGCCCCACCCACCAAGGAGAGCUCACACCUGCUCAGCUUUGGGACUUCCCAGCUCCUCCUUGCAGCUCAACUUACCGGGGGUCCCAUGAGUCCGGGGGGGCCAGCGGGACCAGGGUCCCCCUAGAGAAAAGACAGGAUGCCCACUCAUUCACCACUGCCUUCCUUCUCUCCAGGCCCCACCUCCACCCCCAGGAUAGAGGGAAUGUCACAGGAGGUGGAGGGAAGAAUCUUGAGCCCGGAUCGGCCUCUGACUGGCUGUGGACCCUCAGUGAAUCUCACUUCUCUCUAGAAUCCCAAUUUUUCUUCUUUGGGGACAGAAUGGUGUAGAUCUUGAUGCUCUGCCCUUCGCGACUCCCCAUCCCUUUCAGAUGCCCCAGCAAAACCAGAUCCAAGGAGCCAGGGUGAUUCCAGUCUUUCCGUAUCUGCAGCCUACUCUUCCUGACACCCAGCCUAGUAUCUUUAGCUGCCUGGGCUUCUGGAUGUCGAUCCACUCCCUUGGCUGUCUGCCUUUGGUGAGACCCAGCUCAUCCAACCUGGUUAAGGCCACCAGGAGAACUGAAGAACCCAGGGGCUCUGGUGCCAUCAGAGCAGUGGGGCGAGAAGCAGAUGGAAGGAAGGCAGCUCAUCUGGGUUCUGUUGACUUUGGCUCUUGGAAGAGGAAGAAGGAAAGGGGUACCUAUCAUCUCACCCUCAAGCCAGGCUUGCCGUCCUUCCCAUCCAGACCAUCCAGGCCAGCAGGGCCCUAGAAAGAGGAAAAAGGCAUAUCUGCAUACUUGUGCUGGAGCCCUAGGAGGCAAGAGGCCUGACCAAGCCCUUUCACCCUAUCCACCCCUCACCCAACUCCCGCCCCAACUAAGCACGCACAUGCACCCCUAUGCACACAUGCACACAGCUCACAUGCUCACCUGAAUCCCAGGAGAUCCUGGUGGCCCAGGGGGACCAGGCAUGCCUGGUGGGCCUCGAAUCCCUUCACUGCCCUGGAAAGAAGCCCACCCCACAACAAAGUCAGCAGGGCCUCGUCCCGCUGGGUGCUGGGCAUUGGGACGAGGCACUGGGCACUGGGUUCUGAUGAUUACCGGAAAUCAGGACAGCUGGUUUCCAGCCCCACUUCUGUUCUGGCCUAACUGGAUAUACUCCACAGCACUCCCCAGGAGGAUCUGUCUUCAUCUGCAAAGCAGCCCCCUUCCCACACUGUUCCACGAGGAAGGGACAGAGCCUAUUCAGUCUAGCAUCUUCUUCGGGUUUGAUUCAGAGACUCAAUGGGUGCUCAACUAAAGGCACACAUUCAGUUCACGUCGGUCCCAACAUCCCAAGCACUAUAUAGCCUCUGAUCUUUCCAGAUGAAAAAAAGGUGGCCCCUGUCCUCAAGAAGCUCACAGUCACUUUCAGAAGAGGGAGCGGCUCACUCCGGCCAGGGGUCAGGGAAAGUAUCACAGAAGCAUCACCAGACACUAGACUCUGAAGCAUAGCUGGGAUUUGGACAAGUUGGGGAAGGACAAAAGGGCAAGCCAGAGGGAACUUCAGAGAAGGAUACAGAUUUGGAAGUGGUCAUUUGCCUGGGGGGCCCAUGUGAGGGAUGGGGUGGGAGGUAAGGCCGGAGAAAGGUAGGGCCUAAAUGGGGGGCAUGCCCUGAACACUGUGCUAGACUCUAUCUAACAGACCAGUGCUUUUCAAACUGUACUUCUCAGAGCCCUUGACGUUCCUGGAGGAGCGUCAGAGAUGGGUGCACGAAGUGGGACCCCAGAGAGUGGACCCAAACCCCUUGCCCCUGCCUUAGCCAGAGCGGCUCCACUCGUGUCUGUUUUAUACAUUGAAGGUUCACGUGAGCUCCUGUGUGAUGAAAGGGCCCGGGGACUUCAAAAUAAAGUCUGGGAACCACUGCUCCAGGUACUGGGGAGCCACCGACUGUUCAAAGCAGGGAAAUGAUGAGAAUCAACGUGUGAACUAGAAUGUUUACUGGAGAAGGGAGGGGGCAGCUUGGUGUGGAGGGCUGCCACGUAGCCUAGUGGAAAGGGAGUGGCUGCUCUGGUGCAGUGGCUGAGGACCCGCCAAGGGGAAAUGAUCCAGCUAGAGACCCCCUCCAUGGGGGGUGGGGAGGAGAGUCCCCUGUGGCAUUGCAAUGCCACCAGCUACCAGGAGGGGUCAGCACAGCCCCAGAAAAUGUCAGUCCCAUGGGGCGUGGAGUGGGGAACCCCUGGCCAGGGGUUUGGGAUUCUCUGCAGUGAACAGCCUAAGGAGAGCAGGCAAGGACUGGGGCACGGAGCCAGCCCGGAAGGCUCUGGACAGGGGCUGCCACCUGGGUCCUCCACAAAGAGCCACCACCACCUCCACCAUGACUGAUAGGUGCAGGCUCUGGGGAGGCAGGGAGGCACACCCAGCCUCUCUGGGCCUCAUGGCCUCACCAGGACAGUGAGAAGUUAGACCAGGGUGGCCCUUUUGCAAGUCCCUUCUAGCUCUGACAGCUAUGCUAUGAGUGUUUUCCGACGAAAGAGGCUCCACCCAUGGUUGCAGGUCUCCUGCCUCUCCCCUUGGGUCAUGAGCCCCCCACCCCAAGCUUAGAAGUCAUUUCGGGCCUCAUUAUACUACCCAGGCAUCACAUCUGGGGAGCCCAGAGGCUGGGCAGAGACAGGAAUGUCAGCCCCCAGACCAAGGCAGAGCUAGUCUCCAAACGAGCAAGUCAAACCCAGGGGCAGCUGGUGUGGGGGCUCCCCAGGCUGCCUGACCCUUGUCACCAGCUCACGGGCCAUGCCUGCCCUCUCUGGGCCCUUGGAGACAAUCUGAGCAGGUUCUAUGCCUGUUGUUGUCAGACCUGGAAGGUGAAUGGCCAGAGCUGCUCUGGCUUCAGGGCUUAGGGGCUUAGGGAGUUUGGGUUUGCAGUCUGGAUGUGCUUCCCUACUCCCUGCAGCUCCUCCUCCUUGCCCUGGAGACAAAGCCAGCCCACUGUGCUCUAGUCACCUCCUCUCACACGCCUCCCUGCGCCCCACUGCGUCCUCCCCAGCCCCUGCUCCCAGCAGGCAUCCUGGGCUUAGCUGCCAUCCUAGGGCCACUGGUCUGUUGCCCUGUAGUAGACAUAACUGAGAGUCAGUCCUUGAAUUUCCAAAGGCCUGAUAGUGUGUGGGAUGGGGCAUGGUUGCUGCAUGGCUCAGAUUUGUGCCUGUGGAGGACUUGGGGUCCUGCUCACCUUCUCUGCUUGGGGGCCGGGUGGGCCAGGCGCUCCAGCCUUGCCUGGGAAUCCAGGGGGACCCUAUAUCAACAAAGGAGCGGAUGAGAAUGAGAGUGGGGCUGGAGGGACAGCUCCCCUUCCUUCUUCCUCCAGGUCAGCUUCACUGCAGUUAAAGUGAAGCAUUUUGACUUCCUAGAAACACCACCUAGGAGCGUUUCUGCUGGCUGGCCUGCUGCACCAGGGCCCACCCAGGAGGCUCUGCCCUCCAGGUCCUGGCUCCUGGAAUCAGGCCUGGCCACCCAGGCCGUUCCUCCCAUGCCUCUUCCCUCCCCAGGCCCAUCUCCGUCCAGCCUGGCCUGGUCAGGCCUGCCCCUCCCAAAUAGGAUCACAUCAGACAGAGCUGGCUUUGUGUUCUCACUCACCGGUGGGCCGGGAAAGCCUGGCUGGCCUUGAAAUCCCUAGGGGGAAGAAGCAAGGGACAGUUUGCCACGCCGCCCACUCUCUCCCUCCUGGCUGCCCAGAUGGAAAGAGUGACAGGGUGAGGAGGCUGCCUUGAGCCCUGGGGCCUAGCCCCUCCACUCCGCCCAAGAUGACCAGCUGGUGAAACACUAGUCACGAGGUGGGAGGUUACAACUCAAGGACGGGUGAGGGCUGGAGGCUAGAGCUGGUCACCCCUCCACACGUGACGGGGGCCACCAGGGAGAGGACCCAGCCCCUCCUCUGUGCCCACCCCCCGGCCCUCCCCCACUGUCAGGACAGCCAGCUACGUCCUGCGGUCACUCACCUGGUCACCCUUCUCUCCCGAGUUCCCUUGGGGUCCUCGCUCUCCUCGGGGACCCUGUCACCACAGAAAACAAUGCAGCUGGAACCCAGUCUUUCUUCCCUUCGACCCCAGGGCUGGACCAGGACAAGGAGUCCCCAUGUCCACAGUCCCAUGUCCACAGUCCCCAUGUCCACAGUCCACAGUCCCCUUCACUCACCGCUGGGCCUGCGGGACCUGGGAGACCUUCAGAUCCUGGUGGGCCCUGAGCAGACGAAGAGCAGAAUCAGGCAUUCUGA